GUUUUAAUAGUUUAACUAAAACUUUGGUCUUGUAAAUCAAAAAUGAAAUUUAAUUUCUUAAAACU
rnacentral:tRNA from 1 species